rnacentral:rRNA from 1 species
UACGGAGGGUGCAAGCGUUGUUCGGAUUUAUUGGGCGUAAAGAGCGUGUAGGCGGUUUUGCAAGUCAGGUGUGAAAUCCCGGGGCUUAACCCCGGAACUGCGCCUGAAACUGCAGGACUUGAGUACGGGAGAGGUAGGUGGAAUUCCUGGUGUAGAGGUGAAAUUCGUAGAUAUCAGGAGGAACACCCGUGGCGAAAGCGACCUACUGGACCGAUACUGACGCUGAGACGCGAAAGCGUGGGGAG